rnacentral:rRNA from 1 species
UACGUAGGGGGCAAGCGUUGUCCGGAAUCGUUGGGCGUAAAGAGCGUGUAGGCGGUCCGAUAAGUCCGCUCUGAAAGCCCGGGGCUCAACCCCGGGAGGCGGGCGGAUACUGUCGGGCUAGAGUCCGGAAGAGGCAAGUGGAAUUCCUGGUGUAGCGGUGAAAUGCGCAGAUAUCAGGAGGAACACCGAUGGCGAAGGCAGCUUGCUGGGACGGUACUGACGCUGAGACGCGAAAGCGUGGGGAGCAAACAGG